rnacentral:rRNA from 1 species
GCCAGACUCCUACGGGAGGCAGCAGUGGGGGAUAUUGCACAAUGGGGGGAACCCUGAUGCAGCGACGCCGCGUGGGUGAAGGAGCGUUUCGGCGCGUAAAGCCCUCUCGGCAGGGAAGAAGGAGGACGGUACCUGACUAAGAAGCCCCGGCUAACUACGUGCCAGCAGCCGCGGUAAUACGUAGGGGGCAAGCGUUAUCCGGAUUUACUGGGUGUAAAGGGGGCGCAGACGGCAGCGCAAGCCAGGAGUGAAAGCCCGGGGCCCAACCCCGGGACUGCUCUUGGAACUGCGCGGCUGGAGUGCAGGAGGGGCAGGCGGAAUUCCUGGUGUAGCGGUGAAAUGCGUAGAUAUCAGGAGGAACACCGGUGGCGAAGGCGGCCUGCUGGACGACAACUGACGCUGAGGCGCGAAAGCGUGGGGAGCAAACAGGAUUAGAUACCCCAGUA